UUUCUCCGCCGGCGACCGGCGCACGGGUGAGUAACACGUAUGCAACCUGCCCCUGUCAGGGGGACAACCCGCCGAAAGGCGGGCUAAACCCGCGUACAUGCCACCGGGGCAUCCCGGAGGCAGGAAAGGCUUCGGCCGGACAGGGAUGGGCAUGCGGCGCAUUAGGCAGUAGGCGGGGUAACAGCCCACCUAACCGACGAUGCGUAGGGGUUCUGAGAGGAAGGUCCCCCACACUGGUACUGAGACACGGACCAGACUCCUACGGGAGGCAGCAG
rnacentral:rRNA from 1 species